rnacentral:rRNA from 1 species
CUUAUCUUAGCGGCGGACGGGUGAGUAAUGCUUAGGAAUCUGCCUAUUAGUGGGGGACAACAUUCCGAAAGGAAUGCUAAUACCGCAUACGUCCUACGGGAGAAAGCAGGGGAUCUUCGGACCUUGCGCUAAUAGAUGAGCCUAAGUCGGAUUAGCUAGUUGGUGGGGUAAAGGCCUACCAAGGCGACGAUCUGUAGCGGGUCUGAGAGGAUGAUCCGCCACACUGGGACUGAGACACGGCCCAGACUCCUACGGGAGGCAGCAGUGGGGAAUAUUGGACAAUGGGGGGAACCCUGAUCCAGCCAUGCCGCGUGUGUGAAGAAGGCCUUAUGGUUGUAAAGCACUUUAAGCGAGGAGGAGGCUACUGAGACUAAUACUCUUGGAUAGUGGACGUUACUCGCAGAAUAAGCACCGGCUAACUCUGUGCCAGCAGCCGCGGUAAUACAGAGGGUGCGAGCGUUAAUCGGAUUUACUGGGCGUAAAGCGUGCGUAGGCGGCUUUUUAAGUCGGAUGUGAAAUCCCCGAGCUUAACUUGGGAAUUGCAUUCGAUACUGGGAAGCUAGAGUAUGGGAGAGGAUGGUAGAAUUCCAGGUGUAGCGGUGAAAUGCGUAGAGAUCUGGAGGAAUACCGAUGGCGAAGGCAGCCAUCUGGCCUAAUACUGACGCUGAGGUACGAAAGCAUGGGGAGCAAACAGGAUUAGAUACCCUGGUAGUCCAUGCCGUAAACGAUGUCUACUAGCCGUUGGGGCCUUUGAGGCUUUAGUGGCGCAGCUAACGCGAUAAGUAGACCGCCUGGGGAGUACGGUCGCAAGACUAAAACUCAAAUGAAUUGAC